UUCCGGUUGAUCCCGCCGGACCCCACUGCUAUCGGGGUGGGACUAAGCCAUGCAAGUCGAAGGUCCCCGGCUCCGGGGGCCUGGCAGACGGCUCAGUAACACGUGGCCAACCUGCCCUCGGGAGGGGGAUAACCCCGGGAAACUGGGGUUAAACCCCCAUAGGCGGCGAGAUCUGGAAGGGCUCGCCGCUGAAAGUGGUGCACGGGGAUGCUCCGUGCACCAGCCCGAGGAUGGGGCUGCGGCCCAUCAGGUUGUUGGCGGGGUAACGGCCCGCCAAGCCUAUAACGGGUACGGGCCCUGAGAGGGGGAGCCCGGAGAUGGGCUCUGAGACAAGAGCCCAGGCCCUACGGGGCGCAGCAGGCGCGAAACCUCCCCAAUGCCCGAAAGGGUGAGGGGGUCACCCCGAGUGCCGGCCUCGUGCCGGCUUUUGCCGGGUCUAAAUAGCCCGGCGAAUAAGGGGGGGGCAAGACGGGUGUCAGCCGCCGCGGUAAUACCCGCCCCCCGAGUGGUGGGGACUAUUACUGGGCUUAAAGCGCCCGUAGCCGGCCGGGUGUGUCCUCCGUCAAAUCCACGGGCCUAACCCGUGGGCUGCGGAGGAUACUACCCGGCUUGGGGGUGGAAGAGGGCGGCGGUAUUCCCGGGGUAGGGGUAAAAUCCUCUGAUCCCGGGAGGACCACCAGUGGCGAAGGCGGCCGCCCAGGACACGCCCGAUGGUGAGGGGCGAAAGCUGGGGGAGCAAACGGGAUUAGAUACCCCGGUAGUCCCAGCUGUAAACGAUGCGGGCUAGGUGUCGGGUGGGCUACGGGCUCACCCGGUGCCGAAGGGAAACCAUUAAGCCCGCCGCCUGGGGAGUACGGCCGCAAGGCUGAAACUUAAAGGAAUUGGCGGGGGAGCACCACAAGGGGUGGACGUUGCGGCUUAAUUGGAUUCAACGCCGGGA
rnacentral:rRNA from 1 species